rnacentral:rRNA from 1 species
AUUGAACGCUGGCGGCGUGCUUAACACAUGCAAGUCGUGCGGUAACAGGCGUAGCAAUACGUGCUGACGAGCGGCGAACGGGUGCGUAAUACAUGGGAAUCUGCCUUUUAGUGGGGAAUAACCCGGCGAAAGCCGGGCUAAUGCCGCAUAAGAUCUUCGGAUGAAAGCGGGGAGUCGUAAGACCUCGCGCUGAUAGAUGAGCCCACUGCCGGAUUAGCAGUUGGUGAGGUAACGGCUCACCAAGGCGACGAUCCGUAGCUGGUCUGAGAGGACGGCCAGCCACACUGGGACUGAGACACGGCCCAGACUCCUACGGGAGGCAGCAGUGGGGAAGUAAUUGGACAA